rnacentral:rRNA from 1 species
AGAGUGAACGCUAGCGGUGCGCCUAACACAUGCAAGUCGAGCGAGGCUUCGAGCCGAGCGGCGGACGGCUGAGUAACACGUUGGAACCUACCCCAGACUCAGGGAUAACAUACCGAAAGGUGUGCUAAUACCGGAUGGUCUCGUAAGAGUAAAGCUUUUGCGGUCUGGGAGGGGCCUGCGGCCUAUCAGGUAGUUGGUAAGGUAACGGCUUACCAAGCCUAUGACGGGUAACUGGUCUGAGAGGACGACCAGUCAGAAUGGGACUGAGACACGGCCCAUACUCCUACGGGAGGCAGCAGUGAGGAAUAUUCCGCAAUGGGGGAAACCCUGACGGAGCGACACCGCGUGGAGAUGAAGCCUUUCCGGGCGUAAACUCCUGUCCUGAGGGACGUAAAUUUUUGACGGUACCUCAGAAGAAAGUCAACCGGCUAAUUCUGCGCCAGCAAGCCGC